rnacentral:tRNA from 1 species
UGGGCUAUAGCCAAGCGGUAAGGCAUCGGGUUUUGAUCCCGUGUAUCCCAGGUUCGAAUCAUGGUAGCCCAGCCA